GCGACCCCAGGUCAGGCGGGGCCACCCGCCGAGCUUAAGCAUAUCAAUAAGCGGAGGAGAAGAAACUUACGAGGAUUCCCCUAGUAAGGCGAGCAACCGGGACC
rnacentral:rRNA from 1 species